CGGUCCUGCUCCGCCGGGAGCGACUGGAGCACAGCGAGCCCAGCGGCCCCGCAGCCCCCGCAGCCUGGGUGCCAUGGAAACGCGCUCGCCGCCCUCCAGCCCCGGCCCCUCCGGAGCGCUUAAAGAGACAGCCCUGCUGCCACCGCGGGCUCGACGCGUUGUUGGGCGUCCCCCACCCCCUAGCGCCCUCCUCACCCCCUCCUCUCCAAGCCAGCGCUGCGGGGACUAGAAGCGGCGGGGGCUGGGCAGUGGGGGCAGUGGAAGAAGCAGCUGGGACGCAAAAUCAGGGGUUUCGCUGAAUACUCAGCCUGACUCUACUCCCAACCUCUUCCGAUCCACCCUCUAAGCACACACACCCCAAAGCCCGCUAAAGACGCUAAGCUGCUCCGGUUUUCAGCCUCACACACCAACCUGCUCAGAACCAACCAGCUGUGCAUCUGCUACAGGCAGAGACCAAAAGAAGGCUGACUUUUGAUUCACUCUCCUUCAGCUCACUCCCUACCUCGAGUCUGGGGAGUGGGUCCGAACACCAGACAGGGGGAGGUGUGUUUGAAGUGAAAACCAAAUGGUAGUUGAUUGAGUCAAAUCUCUUGCCAAAUCGACAGUUGCAGGACACAUCUUCAGCUCAUCCAGAAAUCCUAGUUACUCAAAAUGAGAUAAUCUCCCUUCAUUUUAUUUGGCCACCGUCUCACCCAAUUUAGGCACCAGAGUUAUAGGAAGGAGCCAACCGUUCUAUAAAACUACUCCAUCCUUCCCUGCAAACCAACUCCCUUUUCCCUAAAAAUAUACGGAGAAGCCGUCAGUUGCGAGCCCCCACGGCCCUUCCAGAAGGGAACAGCGUCUGCUCUGAACGGGAAUCUUGGGUUGCGGUGCUGGCUAGCGCUGCCCGGGACGCACAGCCAAGAGUAGCGCGGUCGCCAGCAGCUCCGGCCUGAGGCAGUGCCUGUGCUCGGCGCCAGCUGCUGUCUGGAAGGCCGCAAACCUCUGGAGUCUGUUUCGUGAAAAUAAAAAUCUAUGGUGCAUUGUGCCCUCCAACAAGGACAGCCCAAGCUCUGGAGCCAACGUCUGCAGUUUAACCCUGCAGAAAAUGGAACCGUCUGCAGUGAAACAACUUUUUUCCUUUAUUACUAAACUUACCAAAAGUGUCUAUCCAAGGACUCAUUCAUAAUCAGACACUAAAAGCAAUACACCUGAUUUCCACAGUCCUAGGACCCCUAAAAUGAUUUUUCUCAGAAGGUGUUUUUGGACUCCCUCUUGCCCUUCAUAGUUGAAUUAACCAUCUGGCUUUUAAUUUCAGUCUUCUAAGCCUUUGUUCCCUUUUUUUUCUCUUUCUGUGACUAAAGAAGCAAUUGGGCAUUUACAGGAGGGACGGAGGAGCACACUUUUGGGGGGUUUCUGAAAAGGAAUAAAAAGAUGAGAGUGGGAGAGAACCACACUCCUGAAUUUUUUAGCAUUCUGUGACUUUGCUCUCCUUGUUUAUUUAAGUUUGAAAUUCAUGCUAACUUGCAAUGUUUUCUAUUCCUCUUAGACUUGUCUGUAUAAUUUUAACUUUUUAAAAUCAAGUUUACAGUGAAAAAUUCUGUAAAAACACAACUAGAUGAUAUCUUUAUCUUUUGGCAAGUAUCUUGAACACAGAAUUUUAGAGCUGUUUACACAAUAGAAAUCAUUAUCUGACCCCUGUGUUUCAUGAAAGAGGAAUUCAUUCUUACUUCCCUUUCUAAACACCAGUUAUACAUGAACCAGGCCUUCUCCAAACCCAAGAGAUAGUGGACUUGGUACUGACACCAGCUGUGGAGAUGCAUUUUCCUGUGGCUAACUCUAAAUUAGUUCUGCUAACAAUAGGCCCAGCACAGGUUAGUAAAAUACACUGGUAAUUUUAAAAUUUAUUUUUAACUGUUAAUUCUAAAUUCUCCUCAACAGAAUUGAUUACUUAAUUUCACCUCCUCUUCUUUUUCCUCUCCCUCUUCUAGGGAAGCACUAUUGAACAGUAAAAUGACCAAAGGCAGGUGGGGUACUAUAAGGAUGAAUUAAGAAACUGGAUAAGCCAUAAUGAUUACAGCUUCUGAACUAGUGUAAUGAUUGUAUAGUGUAUGUGUACAGGUACAAAGAUUAACCCUCUCCAUGGAUUCAGUUUUCUAGUUUGUCCUUUGGAUGAAACUUAAAGGUUCCAGUUUGUUUCAAUACUGUUUGAUCUUAAUUGUUUUGAUGAAAAUUUAUAGUGUACCUAAAGAUGAUGAUAUAGAUUAACUGUUCCCUGAAAUUUCCUGUGACUUGCUAAGCCUUUCUUUGCUUCUGGACUAGUUUUAACUCUGCAGGAGUCUAUCUUCAACUAAUCUCAUUCCCUUUGGGUAUGUAAAAAGUUUCUAUACAAUUUUCUUUAUAUUAAAGAAAGACAAAUUUAGUAUAAAGUCAUGGCUGAAAAGAGCUAUUUUAAGAGCUAAAUAAUACAAAAAUAUAUGUGAAUUAUUUGAUUGCAUGGUUGUUUAGUAAAGGACAGUUUAGGUACAUGGAAAGUAAAUCACAAAUUAGAAAAAUUUCCUUCCAUGAUUUUGAAGGCACUUUAUUGUAGAUGAACAUUUAAAAUAGUAUGGAUGUGACAGGCUAAAUAUUAGUGUACAUUUCAUAAAGUAAUGUCGAUUUUAUAUUAUUCUAGUACGGCUUAUAACAUAAAAACAAUGCCAUGUAAGCAAUUAUCCUUAAAUGAAAAAGCAAAUGCAUUAAAGUUUUUACCAUAAACUGACAUGAAUCCAGC
rnacentral:lncRNA from 1 species